GAUGAACGCUGGCGGCGUGCCUAAUACAUGCAAGUCGAGCGAACAGAUAAGGAGCUUGCUAUCAACAGUUAGUGGCAAACGGGUGAGUAACGCGUGGGAAUCUGCCCUAUAGUACGGAAUAGCCGUUGGAAACGACGAUUAAUACCGUAUAUCUUCCCAGGAAGAAAGACUUGUCGCUAUAGGAUGAGCCCACGUUAGAUUAGUUUGUUGGUAGGGUAAUGGCCUACCAAGACUACGAUCUAUAGCUGGUUUGAGAGGAUGAUCAGCCACACUGGAACUGAGAUACGGUCCAGACUUCUACGGAAGGCAGCAGUGAGGAAUACUGGACAAUGGGCGAAAGCCUGAUCCAGCAAUACCGCGUGAGUGAUGAAGGCUUUAGGGUUGUAAAACUCUUUCAGUAGGGAUGAUAAUGACGGUACCUACAGAAGAAGCACCGGCUAACUCCGUGCCAGCAGCCGCGGUAAUU
rnacentral:rRNA from 1 species